UACAGAGGGUGCGAGCGUUUGUCCGGAAUCACUGGGCGUAAAGGGCGCGUAGGCGGCCUGAUAAGUAGGGGGUGAAAUCUUGCGGCUCAACCGCAAGGCUGCCUUCUAAACUGUCAGGCUGGAGCACGGUAGAGGCAGAUGGAAUUCCCGGUGGUAGCGGUGGAAUGCGCAGAUAUCAGGAGGAACACCGGUGGCGAAGGCGGGUCUCUGGGCAGUAACUGACGCUGAGGAGCGAAAGCGUGGGGAGCGAACAGG
rnacentral:rRNA from 1 species